rnacentral:misc_RNA from 1 species
GAUGAAGAACGUAGCGAAAUGCGAUACUUGGUGUGAAUUGCAGAAUCCCGCGAAUCAUCGAGUUUUUGAACGCAAGUUGCGCCCGAAGCCAUUCGGCCGAGGGCACGUCUGCCUGGGUGUCACGCAUCGUUGCCCCCCCAAACUCCGGUUCGGGCGGGGCGGAAGUUGGCCUCCCGUGCGUGCCUGCGCGCGCGGUUAGCCCAAAAGCGAGUCCUCGGCGAUGAGCGCCACGACAAUCGGUGGGUUUUUUACCCUCGUUCCUCGUCGUGCGUGCCCCGUCGCCCGAACGCGCUCUUGCAACCCUUACGCGUCGCCUCGGUGGCGCUCCCAACGCGACCCCAGGUCAGGCGGGACUACCCGCUGAGUUUAAGCAUAUCAAUAAGCGGAGGA